UUAAAGAUCCCUAGGAUGGGAUCGCGGCGGCGGUGAGAGAGCCCUAGGAGGGUCUAGGCUAGGUAGGUUGGUGGGUGUCGGGUAGAGGGAGGAGCUAGCAGGAGCUGGGUUAGGGGAGUGGUCGCGGAGGAGGUGAGCUAGGGCUCCCCUAGUACUCGUCGAGCGGUGGCCGACGUUCGUCGUCGUGGUGGUCCUGGGGCAGCGGGGAAGGGGAGAAGAAGAGGAGGCAGGGAGGAGGGAGACCAAGAGAGGGAGCAGAGAGUACGGAGAGGGAGAUACAUGGUCCAUGUCGGUACCUACCGGCGUCGAGGGAGCGGCGGCAAAACGUGGUCCGGGUCGGCCCUCUGCCUGCCUAGGUAGGAGGGCGCAGGUAGGGGCGCAGGGCGAGCAAGGCCUCGAGGGGACGAAGCGGUUCAGGUUCGGCGCCGGAGGGGACAAAGGAGAACGCGGCCGUCAUACGUGGGCUCGGAGGACACGUGGAGGUGGACGGACGGCCUCAUCGUGGUCGCCGGUUGGUCUACUCGUGGUAGCGCGGGAAGGGGGUGGUGAAGAGGAACACAGAGGGAGAAGGAGGCCAGAGAGUAGAGAGAGAGAUCAACGACGUCCCUCAACCUCGUCGGUACAGCGGACUCGCGGAGUUCAAGCAGAGGGCGGUGGGCCGGUCCCGGAGGUGGUGGGCCUAGGCACGGAGGGACGACAGCUCCGGGGCGCGGUUCAGGGGACGGCGGUACCUGCAGGGCUGCGUCCUCGAGCGGCAACUGGGGCGCGAGCUAGACCGUCGCUUCGGCGAGCGGGGAAACUGACGUAGCGGGGCUUGGCCAGAGGGGAGGAGCGGCAACUGGCGCGGUUCAGGGUGCUGGCGUGCGCGGACCCGGCCGGAGCCGAGCCAGAUUGACCGAGACGGACGACGAAGGAGGAGGUGGCUGGACCCGGUACCGGGUACCUAGAGUCCGUUCUACUGGUAUGGGAGCUAUAGUGAAGAUAGAAACGAACGAUCAACAAGCGAGAUGGCGAUACAGCGCGAUGGAUGGUGAACAAUAUAGUACGGAGGGUAUAACGGUACAGUUCAGAGAUUGGGUGGAAGGAUCGUUUGGCAACAAACAGAUUCAAUGGCGAAAACCAGUCGGGGAGAAUAUCGCAACAAUCAACGUCCACUUCGACUUCAAACAAGGUACAACCUUGUACCUAUACAACCCUAUAAUGUUAUAAAGAAUAAAUUAAUUACGUAGAUAUAUGAACCAUUUCCCACCUUCCGAGCCGGACUACGAACCACAAAACAAAGUGAGAACGGCGGGAUCAAAGGCAGUAUGGCCACAAUACAAGGAACUAAAACGCGAGGAAUGCGCCAACCCCUAAAUACCCUGGGGGAACUGUCAAGCGAAACUUACUUUGAAGAGGUCGUUCCGGGUUGGAACCAAAAUGUAAACGAAUUGUUGGAUAAUGGAAAGGGAACCCUCAUUAAUUGGGCUCCCAGUAGAAAUAAAAUUGGGGGGCCCGGUCACGAAGAGAUUCACAACCAGGCUUGACCCGCUACAGGCCGCGGGGGACCCGUUGGUCUCAGAUACAGUUGGGCUUCAGAACGGGUAGGCCACACGGGACUCUUGCUCUAUACACGUCGAGGAUAACCCUAAACAGCGUGUAAGCCCGCCAGAACGACCAGAACAAAGUGGUAACAGCUUUACAGAACAUUGGUCCUAAGGCUCAAACUAACCCAGAAGGGCCCUCUUCCUUAUAUGAAGCAACCGGCACUCUCGAAUACUACCCGAUUCAACCCUGUGGGGACAUCCCAUAUUUGAAAGCUUUCGGUACGGGCGCCAAUACACCGUCUACCCUUAAACAAUUACAGGCCAACAUCUCUUGAACUGUGAACUGAAUUAAUUUUAUGUAGUUGGCGCACACAUUGGCACUACCAGAGAAAAGCCGCCUCAGGCCCUUCACUUGUGCCAAAUCCAAUACAAACUUACAUUCAUCAAAGUCCUAGUGAAGAUCGAAGUGCUGGCAACGCAACGAGGAGAAGAGCGAGAAUAAACGCAUACAAUCGGUGGUAUAAACGAAUCACGAACGACGUUGAGGUGGAGUAAUGGUGUAGGAUAGGUAUUCGAAUUUAUCAGAACUAGAGCGCCCAAAACUCUAACGACUCAGGAGCACUGAGUGUCUAUGAUGGUUUUGUCAACGUCCACAGCUACUAUGGUCACGUCCACUGCGUUGGCUCGAGUUCACCCUCAAGCUGCUUCUGGAACCAGCAAUGAUACAAAACAAAGGACUACUAGUCAUCACCUCGGGUAAACCCUGCUAGCCCCUAGAUCGUAAACCCCAAUAGAAGAAAAGUAAACCUAAAGUGGCAUCAGCCAGAUAUACACAC
rnacentral:rRNA from 1 species